AAGUCGUAACAAGGUUUCCGUAGGUGAACCUGCGGAAGGAUCAUUAUCGAGUGAAGGGUCCUAACCGGCCCGACCUCCAACCCUCUGUCGUUAAAACAAACCCUUGUUGCUUUGGCGGGACCGCCGCGCCCUCCGGGGCCGGCCGUCGGUCUUCGGCCCGGCGAGCGCCCGCCAGAGUCCAACCAAAAACUCUUGCAAAACAACAGCCUGUCUGAGUAAAAUUGAUAAAUCAAUCAAAA
rnacentral:misc_RNA from 1 species